UUCAACUCCGUGCUGUUAUUAUGAGCAACGGAAGCUGUGCUAAAGCAAUUUUUCUUGUUCUUCAAGAUGUUACAAAACCUUCAGUGGUGGGGGGAAAAAGGAGGAGUGAGAAAGAUAAGAUAAAGGCCUAUCCUCUGAAUUUACCUAGAGCUGCUCCUCAAACCAAGCCAAAGAAUCUGGAGCAUGUACAUCCCAGAUCAUGCCGAGAUCUAGAGAGCACACUCAUCCUAUUCAGAGCUGGGAAAAUUUGCACUGUCAAAAUCUGAAUUCUUUGUGGAAUAACAAAGAGUUGCCCACACACCAGCUAGGAGGCUGAGUCAUGCACAGACCCCUGCCUUCACAUCCUUGCUUGGGUGCUCUGCCUCUCCUAAUGUACUCAUGUGUCAGUGGUCACAAAGGAUGCCCUUAUUCACAAAACUCAGAGAGUGAUGCAUGUCUCACAGCAGUCCUUGACAACAGACUGGUGCAUCAGACACAAGGUAUAGCAAAGAGAGAGCUACAGAAUCAGAGACUAAUUUUUUGCCAGUGACUAUAGUGUAGUUGGAGACGGGUCUGAAUUUCAUGGUAGGAACCAAACUGUGGUAAAGAUAACUGUGGAGACAUUUUUCACUUGUAUCUUUUACAAGAUAAAGUAUUGCAACACAUUCUUGCACAACCAGCAAUGCUCUGGUACAACAGUAGUGUUGUGAUAUAUGAAUUGAGAUUGACUUCCUCAGUAGAUAUAAAGUAGCUGUCAAAGAAAGGCCAUGUGACAGGUGGGAAUGUUGUUAAAAAUUCAGAUUUGCUUAUACCCUUUGCUGAUGGUAUGAAAGCCUUAACGGUCAUAAACUUUGCUGCAGAACAGCAGCUGAAGGCCAUCAAACCAUUGGACUACCCUUUCUCCUCAAGCCAUUCUUCCAAUAUCAAGCUGCUGAGCUUAGUUGUUUCAGCUGCAUAUUUAAGUUUCUUCACUAAAUAAUUCAUUGUUUCUUAGUGCGGUGAUACAUAUUAGGACUUUUAGGCAUGCCUUUUUCCACCUGGGAUCUGCCUCUGUGUCCUCUCCAUGUCCUGGCCACAGCUGGAACACCAAAUACUGCUUUACAACAUCGGCUUUCCAAAAUCUGGAUCUUCAGAAUUUAUUUCUAACCCCUUCUCUUUGAUAGGCUGGAUUACAUCCUUACUCAGCCAUCUUCACUUAACAUGGAGUUUGCC
rnacentral:lncRNA from 1 species